GUACGCUGGCGGCACGCCUAAUACAUGCAAGUCGAACGAAGUAGCAAUACUUAGUGGCAGACGGGUGAGUAACAUGUAGGUAUCUUCCCAUUGGUGAGGAAUAACACGAGGAAACUUGUGCUAAUACCUCAUAAGUCUUUACGGAGAAAGCUUUAUGCGCCGAUGGAUGAGCCUGCACUUGAUUAGUUUGUUGGUAGGGUAAUGGCCUACCAAGACAAUGAUCAAUAGCUGAUUUGAGAGGAUGAUCAGCCACAUUGGGACUGAGACACGGCCCAAACUCCUACGGGAGGCAGCAGUAGGGAAUCUUGCACAAUGGGGGAAACCCUGAUGCAGCGAUGCCGCGUGAGUGAAGAAGGCCUUUGGGUUGUAAAGCUCUUUCGUCGGGGAAGAAAAUGACUGUACCCGAAUAAGAAGGUCCGGCUAACU
rnacentral:rRNA from 1 species